AUUGAACGCUGGCGGCAGGCCUAACACAUGCAAGUCGAACGAGUGGCGGACGGGUGAGUAAUGUCUGGGAAACUGCCUGAUGGAGGGGGAUAACUACUGGAAACGGUAGCUAAUACCGCAUACCAUCAGAUGUGCCCAGAUGGGAUUAGCUAGUAGGUGGGGUAAAGGCUCACCUAGGCUACGCUCCCUAGCUGGUCUGAGAGGAUGACCAGCCACACUGGAACUGAGACACGGUCCAGACGCCUACGGGAGUCAGCAGGGGGGAAUAUUGCACAAUGGGCGCAAGCCUGAUGCAGCCAUGCCGCGUGUAUGAAGAAGGCCUUCGGGUUGUAAAGUACUUUCAGCGGGGAGGCGUUACCCGCAGAAGAAGCACCGGCUAACUCCGUGCCAGCAGCCGCGGUAAUUC
rnacentral:rRNA from 1 species